GGNNGGGGGGACUUAGCUUAAUUAAAGCAAUUGAUUUGCACUCAUUAGAUGUAAGAUGUAGUCUUGCAGUCCUUA
rnacentral:tRNA from 1 species